GUCGAGAAUCUUUCACAAUGGGGGAAACCCUGAUGGAGCGACGCCGCGUGGAGGAUAAGGUCUUCGGAUUGUAAACUCCUGUCAUGCGAGAACAAAGCCUCACGGCCUGAUAGUAUCGCAAGAGGAAGAGACGGCUAACUCUGUGCCAGCAGCCGCGGUAAUACAGAGGUCUCAAGCGUUGUUCGGAAUCACUGGGCGUAAAGGGUGCGUAGGCGGCGGGGAAAGUCAGAUGUGAAAUCCGGAGGCUCAACCUCCGAAUUGCAUCCGAUACUCCCUCGCUAGAGAGUUGUAGGGGAGCUUGGAAUUCUCGGUGUAGCAGUGAAAUGCGUAGAUAUCGAGAAGAACGCUCGCAGCGAAGGCGAAGCUCUGGGCAACAUCUGACGCUGAUGCACGAAGGCUGGGGGAGCAAACGGGAUUAGAUACCCCGGUAGUCC
rnacentral:rRNA from 1 species